CCUACGGGAGGCAGCAGUAGGGAAUCUUCCACAAUGGACGAAAGUCUGAUGGAGCAACGCCGCGUGAGUGAAGAAGGGCUUCGGCUCGUAAAGCUCUGUUGGCAGUGAAGAAAGAUAGAGGUAGUAACUGGCCUCUCUUUGACGGUAAUUACUUAGGAAGGCACGGCUAACUACGUGCCAGCAGCCGCGGUAAUACGUAGGUGGCAAGCGUUGUCCGGAUUUAUUGGGCGUAAAGCGAGUGCAAGCGGUUCAAUAAGUCGGAUGUGAAAGCCUUCGGCUCAACCGGGGAAUUGCAUCUGAAACUGUUGAGCUUGAGUGCAGAAGAGGGGGGUAGAACUCCAGGUGUAGCGGUGAAAUGCGUAGAUAUAUGGAAGAACACCAGUGGCGAAGGCGGCUCUCUGGACUGCGACUGACGCUGAGGCUCGAAAGCGUGGGUAGCAAACAGGAUUAGAUACCCCUGUAGUC
rnacentral:rRNA from 1 species